rnacentral:misc_RNA from 1 species
CAUUCUCUCUCUCCCGCGAUUACAUUACAGGGUUUGUGGGCGCUUGCAGAUCUGAGUAAGGUUUCGUGUUAAGUGGGCGUUUUCUUCGGUAAAUUUUAACGAUGUUUUGGCGUAUGGCAGGGCUCUCCACGGCGUCGCCGGUGGAGGCAAUUUUGGAUAAGGACAACUUUACGCUGGAGGAGCUUCUUGAUGAGGACGAAAUUAUUCAAGAAUGCAAAGCUCUGAAUGGGCGUCUUAUCAAUUUCUUGCGAGAAAGGACUCAGGUUGAGCAAUUGAUUCGCUUUAUUGUGGAAGAAGCUUCUGAGGAUGCUGAAAAGAGGCGAUCGUUCAAGUUUCCUUUCAUUGCAUGUGAGAUUUUUACUUGUGAGGUUGAUAUUAUACUCAAAACGCUUGUGGAGGAUGAGGAGUUAAUGAAUUUGUUGUUUUCCUUUCUGGAACCAAAACACUCCCAUAG